rnacentral:tRNA from 1 species
GCCCGGAUGGUCUAGUGGUAUGAUUCGCCCUUAGGGAGCUCGUUUCUCUACUUGGGCGAGGUCCCCGGUUCAAUCCCGGGUUCGGGCC